rnacentral:lncRNA from 1 species
UGUUCUACCCAGAAGAGUGGCUCAAGUUCACAUUCAGAAUUUAUUUGUUGAAAGAGUAUCUCCACUUUAUCACAAUCGAGCACUUCCAAUUCUUUCAGAAGUGGCCAGCUUGAACUAAACCUUCUAGAGCAAAAUCUUUUCAGUUGGUGUAAACCGGAGAGUGUGAGAGAGGUAAGGUUAGGGAAUAAGAGUAAAGGUGCUGCUUCAUCUUCAUUUUCAUUGGCAACAAUUGCCUCCACUCCACUCUCCGAUAUAUAUAGGUCCUCAAGAUGCACAAGAGCACUCGCCACAGAAACCGGAAAAAGGUUUAGCAGUUUGUUGCAUCCCCUUACUUGCAAUUUCCUUAAUUUGGAAAAUGAAUUUGCUGGAAGUUGGUCAGGCCACAAUGCUCUUAUAUUAUCUAGUCCGCGUACAGACAAGGACUCCAACCCUGGGAGUGCAACCUCUGCAAUUGAUGAUCCCUUUAGUUAAUAAUAUAUACAUAUACAUUCCUAAUAAUUAGACACAUGUAAAUAGAAAAUAAGAGGUUAAAGGAGAAUAUAUCAGUAUAACAAAGCACAAAAUUUAAACUAGAUUCAAGAAGAUCAAGAAAGAGAAAAGAAAAGAAAAAGCCUCCAGAUUUUGAAGAUACAAUGAAACUUAAAAAAAAAAAAAAAAACCUUCAAAUUUUCCUUUCGAAAUGAGCUAAUAAGAGGAUUUUUUUUUUCUUUUUUCUUUGCAUCUCUUUCAAAUUUGAUUAACUUCUAUGGAAAACGUAUUUUAACUAGUUAUGGAAAACGGAUAUUUUUUUUUUAACUUUUAUAUAAGAUACAAGUAAUACUUUAAAAAAAUUGUGAUAUCUAAAUAAUUUUUUGAAAAAUUAUUUUGAAAGAAAUAAGGUAAAUCUAUACUUUUUGUAUAAGAUGUUCAACCUUUAUAUACAAAUUUCUAAUUUUUUUUUUUAAAGUGUAUCCAAAUGGACACUAAACUAUCUAGUUUUUAAUUGUUACAACUUUGAAUUGGAUUUUAUGGUAAACUAAUUUACAAGUUAAUGCAUGGAUUCAUCUUAGAUUCCAUCUAUAAAUUUUUUUAAUUAUCUAAUAUAAGACAUUAUAUUAAUGGGUUGAAUUAAUAAUGUAAUUAUAAUUUAUUUGGCAACUUUCUUCCUUCAAAUAUAUAAAAUGAAAAUAAAUUUUAAAAAAUAAAAAAAAUGAAAAAAAUAAAAAAUAAAAAAAGAUUUUUUUUAUAGUUUUUCUAAGGUGAUUUUGUAGAGUAUUGUUAGUUUAUAGUUUUAACUUUAUUUCAUUUUACUUUUAACUUUAUUUAUUGAGGUAUGUUCUUUUUUGCAACUCUUGUUUAGAUUUUAUAGAGAAUAUAAAUUUUAAGAAAAAAAAUGAAAUUUAAAUAAAAUAAGAAUAAAGAAAGGCAAAAGGUGGAUGAAUUUUCUUAAGGCAAAAGUUUGAUAACUUGGCACUAUCAUGUAAUGGGUGAAAUUUUUAAAUACUCAACAAAGGCUAGUGAAAUUUAAAUUAAAAGCUUGACAUGUACCUUUUCGACCAAAAUCUUUGGAGUUGGUGUAAAGUUUUGAGUAUGAGAGAGGUUAGUAUAGGGAAUAUUAUUGCACAUUAGUUCAAAUAAAACAUCAACAUUUUUUUUUGUUAAAUUCUAAAUGAACACCACUAUAAAUUAAUGCGAUUUUGUAUGCUCAAUUAAAUAAACUCGUUCUUAAGGCAUCACAUGAAGUGUUUAAGUCUAAUUAAUAUUAAUUAAAAAUGAUUAUAUUAAAAAAAAUCCAAAGUAAUUUAUUUUUAUCAUAAGUCAAGUAGGAUAGUUUUAUAAAUAAUUGGUUCUAGUUUCUAGUAUUAUUGUACACAAUCGCUAUGUUUGUUGCACCUCCAAAAAAUCUACUACUUGUAAUUAAUUGUAUAUUAUUCUCCAUAUUCACAUCAGUUUAUGUAGUAUGAUUAAUUUAGCAACAAAAUAUAAGUUUACUUGAAAUCGCUUUAAAUUCCUAUGAUAUUAAAGUUUAAGAUUAAAACAAUGUAACAUUAGCCAAAAAGAUUAAGAUCUAUAAUGUAACAUAUAAAAUUUAGAAAAUUCAAGGAAGGGUAAACUCGCACCUGUUCUACCCAGAAGAGUGGCUCAAGUUCACAUUCAGAAUUUAUUUGUUGAAAGAGUAUCUCCACUUUAUCACAAUCGAGCACUUCCAAUUCUUUCAGAAGUGGCCAGCUUGAACUAAACCUUCUAGAGCAAAAUCUUUUGAGUUGGUGUAAACCGGAGAGUGUGAGAGAGGUAAGGUUAGGGAAUGAGAGUAAAGGUGCUGCUUCAUCUUCAUUUUCAUUGGCAACAAUUGCCUCCACUCCACUCUCCGAUAUAUAAAGGUCCUCAAGUUGCACAAGAGCACUCGCCACAGAAACCGGAAAAAGGUUUAGCAAUUUGUUGCAUCCCCUUCCUUGCAAUUUCCUUAAUUUGGAAAAUGAAUUUGCUGGAAGUUGGUCAGGCCACAAUGCUCUUAUAUUAUCUAGUCCACGUACAGACAAGGACUCCAAGCCUGGGAGUGCAACCUGUGCAAUUGAUGAUCCCUUUAGUUAAUAAUAUAUACAUAUACAUUCCUAAUAAUUAGACACAUGUAAAUAGAAAAUAAGAGGUUAAAGGAGAAUAUAUCAGUAUAACAAAGCACAAAAUUUAAACUAGAUUCAAGAAGAUCAAGAAAGAGAAAAGAAAAGAAAAAGCCUCCAGAUUUUGAAGAUACAAUGAAACUUAAAAAAAAAAAAAAAAAAACUUCCAAAUUUUCCUUUCGAAAUGAGGUAAUAAGAGGAUUUUUUUUUUCUUUUUUCUUUGCCUCUCUUUCAAAUUUGAUUAACUUCUAUGGAAAACGUAUUUUAACUAGUUAUGGAAAACCGAUUUUUUUUUUUUUAACUUUUAUAUAAGAUACAAGUAAUACUUUAAAAAAAUUGUGAUAUCUAAAUAAUUUUUUGAAAAAUUAUUUUUAAAGAAAUAAGGUAAAUCUAUACUUUUUGUACAAGAUGUUCUACCUUUAUAUACAAAUUUCUGAUUUUUUUUUUAAAAGUGUAUCCAAAUGGACACUAAACUAUCUAGUUUUUAAUUGUUACAACUUUGAAUUGGAUUUUAUGGUAAACUAAUUUACAAGUUAAUGCAUGGAUUCAUCUUAGAUUCCAUCUAUAAAUUUUUUUAAUUAUCUAAUAUAAGACAUUAUAUUAAUGAGUUGAAUUAAUAAUGUAAUUAUAAUUUAUUUGGCAACUUUCUUCCUUCAAAUAUAUAAAAUGAAAAUAAAGUUUAAAAAAUAAAAAAAAUGAAAAAAAUAAAAAAUAAAAAAUGAUUUUUUUUAUAGUUUUUCUAAGAUGAUUUUGUAGAGUACUGUUAGUUUAUAGUUUUAACUUUAUUUCAUUUUACUUUUAACUUUAUUUAUUGAGGUAUGUUCUUUUUUGAAACUCUUGUUUAGAUUUUAUAGAGAAUAUAAAUUUUAAGAAAAAAAAUGAAAUUUAAAUAAAAUAAGAAUAAAGAAAGGCAAAAGGUGGAUGAAUUUUUUUAAGGCAAAAGUUUGAUAACUUGGCACUAUCAUGUAAUGGGUGAAAUUUUUAAAUACUCAACAAAGGCUAGUGAAAUUUAAAUUAAAAGCUUGACAUGUACCUUUUCGACCAAAAUCUUUGGAGUUGGUGUAAAGUUUUGAGUAUGAGAGAGGUUAGUCUAGGGAAUAUUAUUGCACAUUAGUUCAAAUAAAACAUCAACAUUUUUUUUUUGUUAAAUUCUAAAUGAACACCGCUAUAAAUUAAUGCGAUUUUGUAUGCUCAAUUAAAUAAACUUGUUCUUAAGGCAUCACAUGAAGUGUUUAAGUCUAAUUAAUAUUAAUUAAAAAUGAUUAUAUUAAAAAAAAUCCAAAGUAAUUUAUUUUUAUCAUAAGUCAAGUAGGAUAGUUUUAUAAAUAAUUGGUUCUAGUUUCUAGUACUAUUGUACACAAUCGCUAUGUUUGUUGCACCUCCAAAAAAUCUACUACUUGUAAUUAAUUGUAUAUUAUUCUCCAUAUUCACAUCAGUUUAUGUAGUAUGAUUAAUUUAGCAACAAAAUAUAAGUUUACUUGAAAUCGCUUUAAAUUCCUAUGAUAUUAAAGUUUAAGAUUAAAACAAUGUAACAUUAGCCAAAAAGAUUAAGAUCUAUAAUGUAACAUAUAAUAUUUAGAAAAUUCAAGGAAGGGUAAACUCGCACCUGUUCUACCCAGAAGAGUGGCUCAAGUUCACAUUCAUAAUUUAUUUGUUGAAAGAGUAUCUCCACUUUAUCACAAUCGAGCACUUCCAAUUCUUUCAGAAGUGGCCAGCUUGAACUAAACCUUCUAGAGAAAAAUCUUUUGAGUUGGUGUAAACCGGAGAGUGUAAGAGAGGUAAGGUUAGGGAAUAAGAGUAAAAGUGCUGCUUCAUCUUCAUUUUCAUUGGCAACAAUUGCCUCCACUCCACUUUCCGAUAUAUAUAGGUCCUCAAGUUGCACAAGAGCACUCGCCACAGAAACCGGAAAAAGGUUUAGCAAUUUGUUGCAUCCCCUUACUUGCAAUUUCCUUAAUUUGGAAAAUGAAUUUGCUGGAAGUUGGUCAGACCACAAUGCUCUUAUAUUAUCUAGUCCGCGUACAGACAAGGACUCCAAACCUGGGAGUGCAACCUGUGCAAUUGAUGAUCCCUUUAGUUAAUAAUAUAUACAUAUACAUUCCUAAUAAUUAGACACAUGUAAAUAGAAAAUAAGAGGUUAAAGGAGAAUAUAUCAGUAUAACAAAGCACAAAAUUUAAACUAGAUUCAAGAAGAUCAAGAAAGAGAAAAGAAAAGAAAAAGCCUCCAGAUUUUGAAGAUACAAUGAAACUUAACAAAAAAAAAAAAAAACCACCAAAUUUUCCUUUCGAAAUGAGGUAAUAAGAGGAUUUUUUUUUUUUCUUUUUUCUUUGCCUCUCUUUCAAAUUUGAUUAACUUCUAUGGAAAACGUAUUUUAACUAGUUAUGGAAAACAUAUUUUUUUUUUAAAAAACUUUUCUAUAAGAUACAAGUAAUACUUUAAAAAAAUUGUGAUAUCUAAAAAAUUUUUUGAAAAAUUAUUUUUAAAGAAAUAAGGUAAAUCUAUACUUUUUGUAUAAGAUGUUCUACCUUUAUAUACAAAUUUCUGAUUUUUUUUUUAAAAGUGUAUCCAAAUGGACACUAAACUAUCUAGUUUUUAAUUGUUACAACUUUGAAUUGGAUUUUAUGGUAAACUAAUUUACAAGUUAAUGCAUGGAUUCAUCUUAGAUUCCAUCUAUAAAUUUUUUUAAUUAUCUAAUAUAAGACAUUAUAUUAAUGGGUUGAAUUAAUAAUGUAAUUAUAAUUUAUUUGGCAAGUUUCUUCCUUCAAAUAUAUAAAAUGAAAAUAAAUUUUAAAAAAUAAAAAAAAUGAAAAAAAUAAAAAAUAAAAAAAGAUUUUUUUUAUAGUUUUUCUAAGAUGAUUUUGUAGAGUACUGUUAGUUUAUAGUUUUAACUUUAUUUCAUUUUACUUUUAACUUUAUUUAUUGAGGUAUGUUCUUUUUUGAAACUCUUGUUUAGAUUUUAUAGAGGAUAUAAAUUUUCAGAAAAAAAAAAUUAAAUUUAAAUAAAAUAGGAAUAAAGAAAGGCAAAAGGUGGAUGAAUUUUUUUAAGGCAAAAGUUUGAUAACUUGGCACUAUCAUGUAAUGGGUGAAAUUUUUAAAUACUCAACAAAGGCUAGUGAAAUUUAAAUUAAAAGCUUGACAUGUACCUUUUCGACCAAAAUCUUUGGAGUUGGUGUAAAGUUUUGAGUAUGAGAGAGGUUAGUCUAGGGAAUAUUAUUGCACAUUAGUUCAAAUAAAACAUCAACAUUUUUUUUUUUGUUAAAUUCUAAAUGAACACCACUAUAAAUUAAUGCGAUUUGUAUGCUCAAUUAAAUAAACUCGUUCUUAAGGCAUCACAUGAAGUGUUUAAGUCUAAUUAAUAUUAAUUAAAAAUGAUUAUUUUAAAAAAAUCCAAAGUAAUUUAUUUUUAUCAUAAGUCAAGUAGGAUAGUUUUAUAAAUAAUUGGUUCUAGUUUCUAGUAUUAUUGUACACAAUCGCUAUGUUUGUUGCACCUCCAAAAAAUCUACUACUUGUAAUUAAUUGUAUAUUAUUCUCCAUAUUCACAUCAGUUUAUGUAGUAUGAUUAAUUUAGCAACAAAAUAUAAGUUUACUUGAAAUCGCUUUAAAUUCCUAUGAUAUUAAAGUUUAAGAUUAAAACAAUGUAACAUUAGCCAAAAAGACUAAGAUCUAUAAUGUAACAUAUAAAAUUUAGAAAAUUCAAGGAAGGGUAAACUCGCACCUGUUCUACCCAGAAGAGUGGCUCAAGUUCACAUUCAGAAUUUAUUUGUUGAAAGAGUAUCUCCACUUUAUCACAAUCGAGCACUUCCAAUUCUUUCAGAAGUGGCCAGCUUGAACUAAACCUUCUAGAGCAAAAUCUUUUGAGUUGGUGUAAACCGGAGAGUGUGAGAGAGGUAAGGUUAGGGAAUGAGAGUAAAGGUGCUGCUUCAUCUUCAUUUUCAUUGGCAACAAUUGCCUCCACUCCACUCUCCGAUAUAUAAAGGUCCUCAAGUUGCACAAGAGCACUCGCCACAGAAACCGGAAAAAGGUUUAGCAAUUUGUUGCAUCCCCUUACUUGCAAUUUCCUUAAUUUGGAAAAUGAAUUUGCUGGAAGUUGGUCAGGCCACAAUGCUCUUAUAUUAUCUAGUCCGCGUACAGACAAGGACUCCAAACCUGGGAGUGCAACCUGUGCAAUUGAUGAUCCCUUUAGUUAAUAAUAUAUACAUAUACAUUCCUAAUAAUUAGACACAUGUAAAUAGAAAAUAAGAGGUUAAAGGAGAAUAUAUCAGUAUAACAAAGCACAAAAUUUAAACUCUAUUCAAGAAGAUCCAGAAAGAGAAAAGAAAACGCCUUUUGAUUUUGAAGAUCCAAUGAAACUUUAAAAAAAAAAAAAAAAACCUCCAAAUUUUGCUUUCCAAAUGAGGUAAUAGGAGGAUAUUUUUAUUUUAUUUUUUCUUUGCCUCUCUUUCAAAUUUGAUUAACUUCCAUGGAAAACGUAUUUUAACUAGCCAUGGAAAAUGGAUUUUUUUUUUAAAACUUUUAUAUAAGAUACAAGAACUCUUAGAGGGUUACAUUAUGUAAGUAAUACUUUAAAAAAAAUGUUUAAAAAUAUUGUGAUAUCCAAAAAUUUUACUACCUCGGAUUUUAAAUUUUAAAAAAAUUAUUUUUAAAGAAAUAAGGUAAAUCUAUACUUUUUCGUAUAAGAUAUUCUACCUUUAUAUACAAAUUUCUGAUUUUUUUUUUAAAGUGUAUCCAAAUGGACACUAAACUAUCUAGUUUCGAAUUUUUACAACUUUGAAUUGGAUUUUAUGGUAAACUAAUUGACAAUAUAACGCAUGGAUUCAUCUUAGAUUCCAUCUAUAAAUUUUUUAAUUAUCUAAUAUAAGACAUUAUAUUAAUGGGUUGAAUUAAUAAUGUAAUUAUAAUUUAUUUGGCAACUUUCUUCCUUCAAAUAUAUAAGACGAAAAUAUAUUUUAAAAAAUAAAAAAGAAUGAUAAAAAAUAGAAAAUAAAAAUAGCUUAUUUUAUUGUUUUUCUAAGAUGAUUUUGUAGAGUGUUAGUUUAUAGUUUAACUUUAUUUCAUUUUACUUUUAACAUUAUUUAUUGAGGUAUGUUCUUUUUUGAAACUCUUGUUUAGAUUUUAUAGAGAAUAUAAAUUUUAAGAAAAAAAAUGAAAUUUAAAUAAAAUAAGAAUAAAGAAAGGCAAAAGGUGGAUGAAUUUUUUGAAGGCAAAAGUUUGAUAAUUUGGCACUGUCAUGUAAUGGGUGAAAUUUUUAAAUACUCAACAAAGGCUAGUGAAAUUUAAAUUAAAACCUUGACAUGUACCUUUUCGACCAAAAUCUUUGGAGUUGGUGUAAAGUUUUGAGUAUGAGAGAGGUUAGUCUAGGGAAUAUUAUUGCACAUUAGUUCAAAUAAAACAUCAACAUUUUUUUUUGUUAAAUUCUAAAUGAACACCACUAUAAAUUAAUGCGAUUUUGUAUGCUCAAUUAAAUAAACUCGUUCUUAAGGCAUCACAUGAAGUGUUUAAGUCUAAUUAAUAUUAAUUAAAAAUGAUUAUAUCAAAAAAAAUCCAAAGUAAUUUUUUUUUAUCAUAAGUCAAGUAGGAUAGUUUUAUAAAUAAUUGGUUCUAGUUUCUAGUAUUAUUGUACACAAUCGCUAUGUUUGUUGCACCUCCAAAAAAUCUACUACUUGUAAUUAAUUGUAUAUUAUUCUCCAUAUUCACAUCAGUUUAUGUAGUAUGAUUAAUUUAGCAACAAAAUAUAAGUUUACUUGAAAUCGCUUUAAAUUCCUAUGAUAUUAAAGUUUAAGAUUAAAACAAUGUAACAUUAGCCAAAAAGACUAAGAUCUAUAAUGUAACAAAUAAAAUUUAGAAAAUUCAAGGCAGGGUAAACUCGCACCUGUUCUACCCAGAAGAGUGGCUCAAGUUCACAUUCAGAAUUUAUUUGUUGAAAGAGUAUCUCCACUUUAUCACAAUCGAGCACUUCCAAUUCUUUCAGAAGUAGCCAGCUUGAACUAAACCUUCUAGAGCAAAAUCUUUUGAGUUGGUGUAAACCGGAGAGUGUGAGAGAGGUAAGGUUAGGGAAUAAGAGUAAAGGUGCUGCUUCAUCUUCAUUUUCAUUGGCAACAAUUGCCUCCACUCCACUCUCCGAUAUAUAUAGGUCCUCAAGUUGCACAAGAGCACUCGCCACAGAAACCCGAAAAAGGUUUAGCAAUUUGUUGAAUCCCCUUACAUGCAAUUUCCUUAAUUUGGAAAAUGAAUUUGUUGGAAGUUGGUCAGGCCACAAUGCUCUUAUAUUAUCCAGUCCGCAUACAUACAAGGACUCCAAGCCUUGGAGUGCAACCUGUGCAAUUGAUAAUCCCUUUGGUUAAUAAUAUAUACAUAUACAUUCCUAAUGAUUAGACACAUGUAAAUAGAAAAUAAGAGGUUAAAGGAGAAUAUAUCAGUAUAACAAAGCACAAAAUUUAAACUAGAUUAAAGAAGAUCAAGAAAGAGAAAAGAAAAGAAAAAGCCUCCAGAUUUUGAAGAUACAAUGAAACUUAAAAAAAAAAAAAAAAAACCUCCAAAUUUUCCUUUCGAAAUGAGGUAAUAAGAGGAUUUUUUUUUUCUUUUUUCUUUGCCUCUCUUUCAAAUUUGAUUAACUUCUAUGGAAAACGUAUUUUAACUAGUUAUGGAAAACGGAUUUUUUUUUUUAAAAACUUUUAUAUAAGAUACAAGUAAUACUUUAAAAAAAUUGUGAUAUCUAAAAAAUUUUUUGAAAAAUUAUUUUUAAAGAAAUAAGGUAAAUCUAUACUUUUUGUAUAAGAUGUUCUACCUUUGUAUUCAAAUUUCUGAUUUUUUUUUUUUAAAGUGUAUCCAAAUGCACACUAAACUAUCUAGUUUUUAAUUGUUACAACUUUGAAUUGGAUUUUAUGGUAAACUAAUUUACAAGUUAAUGCAUAGAUUCAUCUUAGAUUCCAUCUAUAAAUUUUUUUAAUUAUCUAAUAUAAGACAGUAUAUUAAUGGGUUGAAUUAAUAAUGUAAUUAUAAUUUAUUUGGCAACUUUCUUCCUUCAAAUAUAUAAAAUGAAAAUAAAUUUUAAAAAAUAAAAAAUAAAAAAAAGAUUUUUUUUAUAGUUUUUCUAAGAUGAUUUUGUAGAGUUCUGUUAGUUUAUAGUUUUCACUUUAUUUAUUGAGGUAUGUUCUUUUUUGAAACUCUUGUUUAGAUUUUAUUGAGAAUAUAAAUUUUAAGAAAAAAAAUAAAAUUUAAAUAAAAUAAGAAUAAAGAAAGGCAAAAGCUGGAUGAAUUUUUUUAAGGCAAAAGUUUGAUAAUUUGGCACUCUCAUGUAAUGGGUGAAAUUUUUAAAUACUCAACAAAGGCUAGUGAAAUUUAAAUUAAAACCAUGACAUGUACCUUUUAGACCAAAAUCUUUGGAGUUGGUGUAAUGUUUUGAGUAUGAGAGAGGUUAGUCUAGGGAAUAUUAUUGCACAUUAGUUCAAAUAAAACAUCAACAUUUUUUUUUGUUAAAUUCUAAAUGAACACCACUAUAAAUUAAUGCGAUUUUGUAUGCUCAAUUAAAUAAACUCGUUCUUAAGGCAUCACAUGAAGUGUUUAAGUCUAAUUAAUAUUAAUUAAAAAUGAUUAUAGUAAAAAAAAUCCAAAGUAAUUUUUUUUUAUCAUAAGUCAAGUAGGAUAGUUUUAUAAAUAAUUGGUUCUAGUUUCUAGUAUUAUUGUAGACAAUCGCUAUGUUUGUUGCACCUCCAAAAAAUCUACUACUUGUAAUUAAUUGUAUAUUAUUCUCCAUAUUCACAUCAGUUUAUGUAGUAUGAUUAAUUUAGCAACAAAAUAUAAGUUUACUUGAAAUGGCUUUAAAUUCCUAUGAUAUUAAAGUUUAAGAUUAAAACAAUGUAACAUUAGCAAAAAAGAUUAAGAUCUAUAAUGUAACAAAUAAAAUUUAGAAAAUUCAAGGCAGGGUAAACUCGCACCUGUUCUACCCAGAAGAGUGGCUCAAGUUCACAUUCAGAAUUUAUUUGUUGAAAGAGUAUCUCCACUUUAUCACAAUCGAGCACUUCCAAUUCUUUCAGAAGUAGCCAGCUUGAACUAAACCUUCUAGAGCAAAAUCUUUUGAGUUGGUGUAAACCGGAGAGUGUGAGAGAGGUAAGGUUAGGGAAUAAGAGUAAAGGUGCUGCUUCAUCUUCAUUUUCAUUGGCAACAAUUGCCUCCACUCCACUCUCUGAUAUAUAUAGGUCCUCAAGUUGCACAAGAGCACUCGCCACAGAAACCCGAAAAAGGUUUAGCAAUUUGUUGAAUCCCCUUACAUGCAAUUUCCUUAAUUUGGAAAAUGAAUUUGUUGGAAGUUGGUCAGGCCACAAUGCUCUUAUAUUAUCCAGUCCGCAUACAUACAAGGACUCCAAGCCUGGGAGUGCAACCUGUGCAAUUGAUAAUCCCUUUGGUUAAUAAUAUAUACAUAUACAUUCCUAAUAAUUAGACACAUGUAAAUAGAAAAUAAGAGGUUAAAGGAGAAUAUAUCAGUAUAACAAAGCACAAAAUUUAAACUAGAUUAAAGAAGAUCAAGAAAGAGAAAAGAAAAGAAAAAGCCUCCAGAUUUUGAAGAUACAAUGAAACUUAAAAAAAAAAAAAAAAAACCUCCAAAUUUUCCUUUCGAAAUGAGGUAAUAAGAGGAUUUUUUUUUUAUUUUUUCUUUGCCUCUCUUUCAAAUUUGAUUAACUUCUAUGGAAAACGCAUUUUAACUAGUUAUGGAAAACGGAUUUUUUUUUUUUAAAACUUUUAUAUAAGAUACAAGUAAUACUUUAAAAAAAUUGUGAUAUCUAAAAAAUUUUUUGAAAAAUUAUUUUUAAAGAAAUAAGGUAAAUCUAUACUUUUUGUAUAAGAUGUUCUACCUUUGUAUUCAAAUUUCUGAUUUUUUUUUUUAAAGUGUAUCCAAAUGCACAAUAAACUACCUAGUUUUUAAUUGUUACAACUUUGAAUUGGAUUUUAUGGUAAACUAAUUUACAAGUUAAUGCAUGGAUUCAUCUUAGAUUCCAUCUAUAAAUUUUUUUAAUUAUCUAAUAUAAGACAUUAUAUUAAUGGGUUGAAUUAAUAAUGUAAUUAUAAUUUAUUUGGCAACUUUCUUCCUUCAAAUAUAUAAAAUGAAAAUAAAUUUUAAAAAAUAAAAAAAAUGAAAAAAUAAAAAAUAAAAAAAAGAUUUUUUUUAUAGUUUUUCUAAGAUGAUUUUGUAGAGUACUGUUAGUUUAUAGUUUUCACUUUAUUUAUUGAGGUAUGUUCUUUUUUGAAACUCUUGUUUAGAUUUUAUUGAGAAUAUAAAUUUUAAGAAAAAAAAUGAAAUUUAAAUAAAAUAAGAAUAAAGAAAGGCAAAAGGUGGAUGAAUUUUUUUACGGCAAAAGUUUGAUAAUUUGGCACUAUCAUGUAAUGGGUGAAAUUUUUAAAUACUCAACAAAGGCUAGUGAAAUUUAAAUUAAAACCUUGACAUGUACCUUUUAGACCAAAAUCUUUGGAGUUGGUGUAAAGUUUUGAGUAUGAGAGAGGUUAGUCUAGGGAAUAUUAUUGCACAUUAGUUCAAAUAAAACAUCAACAUUUUUUUUUGUUAAAUUCUAAAUGAACACCACUAUAAAUUAAUGCGAUUUUGUAUGCUCAAUUAAAUAAACUCGUUCUUAAGGCAUCACAUGAAGUAUUUAAGUCUAAUUAAUAUUAAUUAAAAAUGAUUAUAGUAAAAAAAAUCCAAAGUAAUUUUUUUUUAUCAUAAGUCAAGUAGGAUAGUUUUAUAAAUAAUUGGUUCUAGUUUCUAGUAUUAUUGUAGACAAUCGCUAUGUUUGUUGCACCUCCAAAAAAUCUACUACUUGUAAUUAAUUGUAUAUUAUUCUCCAUAUUCACAUCAGUUUAUGUAGUAUGAUUAAUUUAGCAACAAAAUAUAAGUUUACUUGAAAUGGCUUUAAAUUCCUAUGAUAUUAAAGUUUAAGAUUAAAACAAUGUAACAUUAGCCAAAAAGAUUAAGAUCUAUAAUGUAACAUAUAAAAUUUAGAAAAUUCAAGGAAGGGUAAACUCGCACCUGUUCUACCCAGAAGAGUGGCUCAAGUUCACAUUCAGAAUUUAUUUGUUGAAAGAGUAUCUCCACUUUAUCACAAUAGAGCACUUCCAAUUCUUUCAGAAGUGGCCAGCUUGAACUAAACCUUCUAGAGCAAAAUCUUUUGAGUUGGUGUAAACCGGAGAGUGUGAGAGAGGUAAGGUUAGGGAAUAAGAGUAAAGGUGCUGCCUCAUCUUCAUUUUCAUUGGCAACAAUUGCCUCCACUCCACUCUGAAAUAUAUUUAGGUUCUCAAGUUGCACAAGAGCACUCGCCACAGAAACCGGAAAAAGGUUUAGCAAUUUGUUGCAUCCCCUUACUUGCAAUUCCCUUAAUUUGGAAAAUGAAUUUGCUGGAAGUUGGUCAGGCCACAAUGCUCUUAUAUUAUCUAGUCCGCAUACAGAAAAGGACUCCAAGCCUGGGAGUGCAACCUGU